GAUGAACGCUGGCGGCGUGCCUAAUACAUGCAAGUCGAGCGAAAAGACGAGGCGCUUGCUCCUCUGACGUUAGCGGCGGACGGGUGUGUCACAUGUGGAUAAUCUACCUAAAAGUCUGGGAUAACUUCGGGACACCGGCGCUAAUACCGGAUAAUCUAUUGCACCGUAUGGUUCAAUAGUGAAAGACGGUUUUGCUGUAACUACUCGAUGGAUCCGCGCCGCUGUAGCUAGUUGGUACGGUAACGGCUUACCACGGCUACGAGGCGUAGCCGACCGGAGAGGGGGGUCGGCCGCACUGGAGCUUAGACACGGUCCAGACUCCUACGGGAGGCAGCAGAAGGGAAUGUGCCGCAAUAGGCGAAAACCUUACGGAGCAACGCCGCGUGAGUUAUAAAGAUCUUGGGAGCGUAAAACUCGGUUAUUAGUGGUGAACAAAUGUGGAAUGAGCUGUACACUGCGUGACGGUACCUGGUCAGAAAGCCACGGCUAACUACGUG
rnacentral:rRNA from 1 species